GGUCUGCUCAGAGCAGCUGUCACUCCCCGACCAGAGCAGGAAGAGAAGUAUGCACUGGAGGAGUAAAGUCCAGAAGAGGGGACUCUGGUCAGAUCCCACAGAAUGCUCAGGAGUGAUGAGGAAACUGAGGCAGGGAAAAGCAUAGAAGUAUAUGUUGUUUUGCCUAUUUCUGCAUCUCUCUUGAGCUAAGGUGAAGAGCGAUUGGGUUCAGAAAUCCUUCAGCAAAGCCGGUCUCCAUUUGCUUCAACGAUCACAAGUCUCUGAAGGAUUAAACUGUAAACUAGAGUGUCCACAAAGUGGAGCUCUGAGGAAGGGGCAGGUGCCUUCCCCGAGAGCUGGAGCAACAGAGCUCAGAGUGGCACAAAGCAGAGGAGCAGAGAAAGGCCUGGCCCAGAGGAGGCUGAGAGCAGGGGGCCGUUCGCGAGAGAUCUAAGAGCAUGUAGUACAGAUGGAUGGAAGUAACCACUUCUCUGGCGCUGUGGUUUGGCAGAACUGGACGGAGACCGCCUAUACACUUUCAUUUUGCUUGGGCUCUUGAGCACCACUAGAGAAAUGGGGUUUCUCCCAACCAGCUCUGGGCCAACAAGAGAGCUGGUGUAAAAGCGAGUUAGCCGCAAACUGCUGGGUCAGAGGGCCUGGGAAAGGCAAGGCCGGGCUCUUAAGAGGUUCCAAAAUGAUGGAUGCAUUGUCCUCCAAAAUUAUAAAGCCUAAAUAUUCUGUGCUAAAUCCCCGGAAGUCUGCAGGAAAGCAUAAACAGAGGCCUCUGCACUGUUCUAUGCUGUGUACAGGUCCUCUCGUAUCAAAAUAAUAAUAC